ACACUUAAAGGAAAAGAAACAUUCACAUACGUUAUCUCCACCAUAGCAAUGAUACUAUUAAAUAAAAAAUUAGUUUUAUUUUCAGCACUUCAUCUUAUUUUGGGGAAAAAAUACCAGCAAGAGUAAACAAAAAGUUUUUUAUCAAUAUAUGAACGGAUUCAUUUUCUCUUCAAUGGUUUAACAGUGUCCUGUAAACUGAAGAAGAAAUACAUGGCAAUCUGUAAAGAAUGUCUAUAUAUAAAUUCAAAAAUGCCACACGAAUAUGGACAUGGCUUUCCUUGUAACGUGCAAAUCUGGACAGCAAUCAGAAACUAAAAUACAGGUUAAAUCUUUAGAGUUCACUACUCCCUUUCCAGCCUUGCACUGACAUCACCAUCAGGGUCUGCUCCUAUUUAUUAUUAAGAGUGCUCCUCCAGUGUUCCCAAACACUGACAUAUGUAUUACUUUUGUUAUAACUCCAGUCUAAGUAACAGUUUAUGCAUAUUAGGUUAAAUAGUGUUCCCAAGCACUUGCUGACUAGAUAAUGAAAGUCAGCUCAAGAAUAGCCAAAUCAUUAACCAGGAUGUUGGUACACUGAAAUUGCCAAGCAAUGACCUGCACUGCAGCUGAAGUGUGGUGCAGCAGCUGUCUAGCCAGCUACGGAAGCUGAGAGGGAACACAGGCCCAUCCUGAGCAGGAACAUGUGCUCCUGAGUGGAGGGUUUUUUUCCACAAAGAAAGGCCCAGGCACUUUCAGAGGCAACAUUGUGCCUGUGAAGAACCCACCAUGCUCCAAAAGGAGUCUGCAAUUAGUUUUACAUUUAACCUAUCAGUCUGCACAUCUCAGUCAAACACCCUCUCUUUCCGUGACAAAAAUACUUGCUUUUACUUUCCUCACAUGAAAAAACAAAAAAAACCCCAUAAAACCAAGAGAGCUUUUUUUUUUUUUUUUUUUUUUACAUUUCUGCAAAGCCAACACACCAAUCUGCCUUGCAGAAAUUGUCAACAGCUCCAGCAGAUUUCUCAUCGCCCCAGUGUUGCAAUACAUAGCAGGAUAUAAUUUAAUACUGGAACAGAAGAAGAUCACAUUUACAAUGCCUCAUUCAGGACAAUCCUGCUGCCUCCUUCAUAUUCUUUGGAGCUGAUGAACUAAUAAAAGUUAAUGCAUUUAUAUCAGUCAAAUAGCAUGAGAAACCAUAUAUCACCACCUGCUACUUAUCACCAGUGUGGAAUGUCACUAAACUACGUAAUAAAUUUGCUUUCUUAGAAUACUUCUCCCUGGCAUCCAAGCUCAGUAUCCACAACUAAGCAAUGUGCUUUUAUUCUUAUUUGCUUGCACAUAUAAAGCAGACGUACCACAGUGAGAGGAAUGGUGAAUGAACUACAGGACCUAGAAUAAACUGAUGAUUUAGUUUUUCCCUGUGGUUAUUGUAGCACUUCAUAGCUAUAAUAUAAAUAAUAUGACUUGACCUUGAUUUUAAAAAAAUCAUACCAAAUAUCUGUACAAGGACUGCAGAAGAGUUAUCAUAAUUUAUAUUAAAUUACUUUAAAGUAGUAGGACUUUUUUCCUGUUUAUAAUGUUACAUUGAAUUGGUAGGCUCCUUUCAGUAACAGACUGCUACUCAACAUUAAUUAAUUUGAAAUUACCACCAUAGCGCAAAAUCAAACCAGAAUCUCCACUCCAGUUCAACACUUUAUGGUGUUGUCCAUUGAGACCUAUUAAUUCAACUGUCAACAGUAGCAGAUGGAAGUCUACUAAUAAAUUCUAAGACUUUGGAUUUUUCAAGCCAUAUUAUAUAUUUAUUUGAGUAAGUCCUUAAGCAAUUUACAGUUAGAGAAAUAAAUAAAAGUGAAUAUAAUUGAUGCAAUUGAUGUUGAACUGUUUAUUAUCAUUUCUGACUAUCUGGAAUGCUUAAAAUCUAAAGUACCUAUGGAAUAUUCAUAAUAGACAAACUUAAAAGUAAAGACCAGAAAAUUCAGGAAAUAUUUCAAUAUACUGAAAAGGUAGCCUUCAUUGAUGUAUUACUUUGGUAUUUAGGUUUUGUGUGUUACAAUGAAAGAACAAAGCAGUGACUCCAAUAAUUAAAUAUUGGACCUUUAAUCUGCAUUACACGGAAGGAAAAGCAAGCAGAAAAGGAAGCUGAUAAGAUUCUACCACCUUGAUGUUGAUUUGCUGGAACAGAAAACCACAUUAAAGACGCACCUGGCUAACACACAGAGAAGAAAAUACAGAUCCUUUCCCAUUCAAAGUGAUAUUGAGAUAAAUUCAGAUUUAAGUGGUAAUAAGGGAAGAAGACCGAUGAGGUAAAAUGGAAAGAAAAAAAGGGGAAAGUUUCUUCAGAGACUGACAGAUUAUUUUUUUAAUAAAGAAUUGCACC